AGUGGCGAACGGGUGAGUAAUGCAUCGGAACGUACCGUGUAGUGGGGGAUAACGUAGCGAAAGUUACGCUAAUACCGCAUACGCCCUGAGGGGGAAAGUGGGGGACCGCAAGGCCUCACGCUAUAUGAGCGGCCGAUGUCGGAUUAGCUAGUUGGUAGGGUAAAGGCCUACCAAGGCGACGAUCCGUAGCGGGUCUGAGAGGAUGAUCCGCCACACUGGGACUGAGACACGGCCCAUACUCCUACGGGAGGCAGCAGUGGGGAAUUUUGGACAAUGGGCGCAAGCCUGAUCCAGCCAUGCCGCGUGAGUGAAGAAGGCCUUCGGGUUGUAAAGCUCUUUCAGACGGAAAGAAAUCUCUCGGGAUAACACCCUGGGAGGAUGACGGUACCGUAAAAAGAAGCACCGGCUAACUACGUGCCAGCAGCCGCGGUAAUACGUAGGGUGCGAGCGUUAAUCGGAAUUACUGGGCGUAAAGCGUGCGCAGGCGGUUAUGUAAGACAGAUGUGAAAUCCCCGCGCUCAACCUGAGAACUGCAUUAGUGACUGCAUAGCUGGAGUACGGCAGAGGGGGAUGGAAUUCCGCGUGUAGCAGUGAAAUGCGUAGAUAUGCGGAGGAACACCGAUGGCGAAGGCACUCCCCUGGGCCUGUACUGACGCUCAUGCACGAAAGCGUGG
rnacentral:rRNA from 1 species